rnacentral:rRNA from 1 species
UGGGGAAUAUUGGGCAAUGGGAGAAAUCCUGACCCAGCGACGCCGCGUGAACGAAGACGGCCUUCGGGUUGUAAAGUUCUUUUAUGUGGGAAGAAGGAAGUGACGGUACCACAUGAAUAAGCCCCGGCUAACUACGUGCCAGCAGCCGCGGUAAUACGUAGGGGGCGAGCGUUGUCCGGAAUUACUGGGCGUAAAGGGCACGCAGGCUGUGCUUCAAGUCAGCUGUAAAAGGAUGCGGCUUAACCGUGUUAUGCAGUUGAGACUGAGGUGCUGGAGUACCGGAGAGGCAAGUGGAAUUCCCAGUGUAGCGGUGAAAUGCGUAGAUAUUGGGAAGAACAUCGGUGGCGAAGGCGACUUGCUGGACGGUAACUGACGCUGAGGUGCGAAAGCCAGGGUAGCGAACGGGAUUAGAUACCCCGGUAGUCCUGGCCGUAAACGAUGAAUGCUAGGUGUGCGAGCAGAGAUGUUGGUGUGCCGCAGUUAACGCGAUAAGCAUUCCGCCUGGGGAGUACGGUCGCAAGAUUG